rnacentral:rRNA from 1 species
UGAAUACGAGACGCUAAGGCGUCGAAGUAGUGUAUGUCAUACUUCCAAGAAAAGCUUGCACUGUCAUAGAUAAAAAACGCCUGUACCAUAACCGACACAGGUGGGUAGGUAGAGUAUACUAAGGGGCGCGAGAUAACUCUCUCUAAGGAACUCGGCAAAAUAACUCCGUAACUUCGGGAGAAGGAGUGCCUUAUUCGUAAGGUUGCAAUAACAAGAUCCAAGCAACUGUUUAUCAAAAACACAGGUCUCCGCUAAGUCGUAAGACGAUGUAUGGGGGCUGACGCCUGCCCAGCGCCAGAAGGUUAAAGAAGUUGGUUAGCAAUUGCGAAGCUGAUAACUGAAGCCCUGGUGAACGGCGGCCGUAACUAUAACGGUCCUAAGGUAGCGAAAUUCCUUGUCGGGUAAGUUCCGACCCGCACGAAAGGCGUAAUGAUUUGGAUACUGUCUCGGAGAGGGGCUCGGUGAAAUAGACUUGUCUGUGAAGAUGCGGACUACCUGCACCAGGACAGAAAGACCCUAUGAAGCUUUACUGUAACUUGAAAUUGAAAUUGGACUUUAUUCGCGCAGUAUAGGUGGGAGGCGUUGAUUAUAAUCUUGUGGGAUUAUUGGAGCCAUCAGUGAGAUACCACUCUUGUAAUGUUAGAUUUCUAACUUUGAAUCAUUAUCUGGUCAAAGAACAGUUUCAGGCGGGCAGUUUGACUGGGGCGGUCGCCUCCUAAACGGUAACGGAGGCGUACAAAGGUUUCCUCUGAACGGUUAGAAAUCGUAUCUAGAGUGUAAAGGCAUAAGGAAGCUUGACUGUGAGACCUACAAGUCGAGCAGGGACGAAAGUCGGUCUUAGUGAUCUGACGGUACUGAGUGGAAAGGCCGUCACUCAACGGAUAAAAGUUACUCUAAGGAUAACAGGCUGAUCUCCCCCAAGAGUUCACAUCGACGGGGAGGUUUGGCACCUCGAUGUCGGCUCAUCGCAUCCUGGGGCGGUAGUACGUCCCAAGGGUUGGGCUGUUCGCCCAUGAAAGCGGUACGCGAGCUGGGUUCAGAACGUCGUGAGACAGUUCGGUCCAUAUCCGGUGUAGGCGUUAGAAUAUUGAGAGGAGCCUUCUUUAGUACGAGAGGACCGAGAAGGACAUACCUCUGGUGUACCAGUUAUCGUGCCAACGGUAAACGCUGGGUAGCUAUGUAUGGAGUGGAUAACCGUUGAAAGCAUCUAAGUGGGAAGCCCACCUCAAGAUAAG